GAGUUUGAUCGUGGCUCAGAUUGAACGCUGGCGGCAUGCCUUACACAUGCAAGUCGAACGGCAGCACGGGAGCUUGCUCCUGGUGGCGAGUGGCGAACGGGUGAGUAAUGCAUCGGAACGUAUCCUGGAGUGGGGGAUAACGUAGCGAAAGUUACGCUAAUACCGCAUAUUCUGUGAGCAGGAAAGCGGGGGACCUUCGGGCCUCGCGCUCUUGGAGCGGCCGAUGUCGGAUUAGCUAGUUGGUGAGGUAAAGGCUCACCAAGGCGACGAUCCGUAGCAGGUCUGAGAGGAUGAUCUGCCACACUGGAACUGAGACACGGUCCAGACUCCUACGGGAGGCAGCAGUGGGAAUUUUGGACAAUGGGGGCAACCCUGAUCCAGCCAUGCCGCGUGAGUGAAGAAGGCCUCGGUUGUAAGUACGUA
rnacentral:rRNA from 1 species